CCAAGUCCCCAAACUCCAAUAUUUUCACUCAUUCUAAGAAAUUUGACACUAUCAUCCAAACCCCCAUGUAAAUGCAUCUUUAAACUGCAUUGACUCCUUGUCCAAGUCCUACAUCCACUAUAAGACAAUAUGAACCGCAUUCAAAGCACUAAAUUACCUUUCCUCGAAGCUCCUAUCUGAUCUACCAGCUCAAUAGUGGUCUACUGAAACCAUACUCACCAUCUCAGGGGGUGCUCAGAUCAUCAGCCACUGACCUCCACACCAUCCUCAAAACCAGCAGUCCUCUUUUGGAGGAAGAUUGGUCAGUGCUCCUGUAUGGCACCAACAUUGUGGAUUUUCAUCCAAUACUUCUGGACUAUGAGAACAUUCUUUGGACAAUAAAAUUAGGUGAAAUGGAAGCUGGCGACAGUCUCAGUUUAUUCCUCCAAGACAGUGUGAGGAUGUGUAACAACAAUACCUGAGGUUUAACUUGAUGAUCAGGGCCAGAUUACCGAAUGGGCACGCAGAGCCCCGACCUCCAGGGAAUAUCAUCAUAACAUCCAAACCUAAAAGUAUUGUGGAUGUAUAUUACAGAGGGGUGCGUCACUUGAGUGGGUUGAGUCACUAACGUGAUCUUCCUGUCUGGGUUGGCGCCACCCCUUUGGUUGUGCCGUGGCGGAGAUCUUUGUGGGCUAUACUCGGCCUUGUCUCAGGAUGGACCUGAGCCCUAGGACCAUGCCUCAGGACUACCUGGCAUGAUGACUCCUUGCUGUCCCCAGUCCACCUGGCUGUGCUGCUGCUCCAGUUUCAACUGUUCUGCCUGCGGCUAUGGAACCCUGACCUGUUCACCGGACGUGCUCCCUGUCCCAGACCUGCUGUUUUCAACUCCCUAGAGACAGCAGGAGCGGUAGAGACACUCUGAAUGAUCGGCUAUGAAAAGCCAACUGACAUUUACUCCUGAGGUGCUGACCUGUUGCAUCCUCGACAACCACUGUGAUUAUUAUUAUUUGACCCUGCUGGUCAUCUAUGAACAUUUGAACAUCUUGGCCAUGUUCUGAUAUAAUCUCCACCCGGCACAGCCAGAAGAGGACUGGCCACCUCUCAUAGCCUGGUCCCUCUCUAGGUUUCUUCCUAGGUUCUGGCCUUUCUUGGGAGUUUUUCCUAGCCACCGUGCUUCUACACCUGCAUUGCUUGCUGUUUGGGGAUUUAGGCUGGGUUUCUGUACAGCACUUUGAGAUAUCAGCUGAUGUAAUAAGGGCUUUAUAAAUACAUUUGAUUUGAAAUUUGA